AAUAAUCCACUUUAUAAGUCGCUCUGGAUAAGAGCGUCUGCUAAAUGACUUAAA
rfam:Salmo salar isolate Sally breed double haploid chromosome ssa04, whole genome shotgun sequence.